rnacentral:rRNA from 1 species
UACGGGGGGGGCAAGCGUUGUUCGGAAUUACUGGGCGUAAAGGGCGCGUAGGCGGCCUUCUAAGUCGUGCGUGAAAUCCCCCGGCUCAACCGGGGAACUGCGUUCGAUACUGGAAGGCUUGAAUCCGGGAGAGGGAUGUGGAAUUCCAGGUGUAGCAGUGAAAUGCGUAGAGAUCUGGAGGAACACCGAUGGCGAAGGCAGCCCCCUGGGUUAGCACUGACGCUCAUACACGAAAGCGUGGGGAGCAAACAGG